ensembl:lncRNA
CCAUAUCUGAUCCAUGUUCCCCCUACUGCUAGAGAAAUAGAAUUUUAUCAGGGACACAAUUCCCUGGAAUGAAGAUUACAUUUCCUACUUGUGCAACAAAGUAUGAAUGUACAUGUGAAGGCUGGAGCUCUAGCUGCCACCAUGGACUCUGAUGAAAAUGAAUUAAUUCUAGCGAUGGCAAAGCUGGGUGAAGCCUGAAUCCCUGAAGAUAUUUUAGGCACAGCCACCAUAUCAGCUAAGACAGUCUUCCCUAGACUUUUCACCUUGGAGGGUGUGACAUGCAUUGUUUGUAUCCUUACAGUGGACUGAACGUCUAGCUGUAGUUAUCUGCAUCACUGUGCCUGAGAACUCUUUUCCUAAAACUGCAAAAAGCCUCAGCUUCCAGUGUUCCCAGAAGGCCAAAAGUACCAAAGAAUUGACACCCUGUGGGAUCAGUCGGAACUGUUCCCUUGCCCUCUGGGUAGGAUAACUCUAAGGUCACCACAGAGGAUCGAGUAGUUAGAAAACUGUUAUUCUAGGAUACAGGUACCCCGAUCUUCACAGCAGCGCUAUUUCUAAUAGAUAGGACAUGGAAGCAAUGUAAAUGUCCAUCAACAGAGGCAUGGGUAAAGAUGUGGCACGUACAUACAACGGGAUAUUACUCAGCCAUAAAAAGCAAUGAAAUGCGCCAUUUGCAGAGACGUGGAUGAGCAACUUCUCUGCUGAAUAAAACGUGUCACAUUUUUGUGCUGACUACAACGUUUCACAGCUACAAACACGUAGCUGUUAAAGUUUAAUCUGCAUCAUUGACACUUCGUCACUUUAAGUCUAAGCUGGGGUUUGGCAAACUAGAUUUUAUUGGAACACAGCUCACUAUUUAUCAUCUGUAGCAGCUUUUGUGCUACAAGGCCCAGCUGAGUAGUUGUAACACAGUCACACGGUCUGUAAAGCCUUAAAUAUUUGUCAUCUAGCCCUUUACAGAAAAUGUUUGUUAACAAAGCAAAAAUUCAAGCCCUGAUUUGUAGCCUUUGCUCAUAUCUGUGGUGUAAAUAUCCCCACCAUGGCCAAUUUCAGGCUACCACCCAGAGCUGCACUGUCACUUUCAUGGACUUUAAGCGACCUUGUCUUUGUAGGACUCUUCCUCCAUAAAACAUACAUUUUAUAAAUAUCGAUGUAAAUACUUUCAUUUAUAAAUACAAAUUGCAGUCAACAGCUGCAUUGAUAUAAAAAUGAAUAUACUCGGAAUUUCCUGGCGGUCCAGUGGUU